rnacentral:rRNA from 1 species
UGAGAGAACCAUGUCGAAGGAACUCGACAAAAUGACCCCGUAACUUCGGGAUAUUGGGUGCUCUCCUAUCUUUUGAUUAGGAAAGCGGCACAUACCAGGGGGCAGCGACUAUUUAUUAAAAACACAUGACUCUGCCAAGUGUUAACACGAUGUAUAGAGUCUAACACUUUCUUGGUGCUGGAAGGUCAAAAGGAGAAGUCUUAUAAGCUUUGAAUGGAAGCCCCGGUUAAUGGCGUCAGUAACUCUAACUAUCCUAAGGUAGCGAAAUUCCUUGUUGCAUAAGUAGCAACCUGCACGAAUGGUGUAACGAUUGCCUCGUUGUCUCCGACAUGGACUCGGUGAAAUUGAAUUCUUCGUGAAGAUGCGAAGUACCAACGGCUAGACGGUAAGACCUUGUGCACCUUGACUAUAGCUUCGCAGUGACAACCUUGAUCGAAUGUGUAGGAUAGGUGGGAGGUGGUGACACAGAUCUCCCAAUCUUGAAAGACCACUCUUUCGUCUAACAAUGCCUAACUGCCGCACCGAUCAUUCGGGGGGGGUGGGUAGUUUAUCUGGGGCGGAUAAUUCCUAAAGAGUAACGAACGUGUGCGAAGGUAAAGAUUAUGCUUGUGAGCGUAAUGGUAUAAGCCUGCCUGAUUGUGAGACGGACUGGUCGAAUAGAGACGAAAGUCGGCCAUAGUGAUCCGGGAGUCCCAUGUGGAAGGGCUCUUGCUCAACGGAUCAAAGGUACGUCGAGGAUAACAGGCUGAUGACUCUCAAGAGCUCUUAUCGACGGAGUCGUUUGGCACCUCGAUGUCGACUCAUCACAUCCUGGGGUUGAAGAUGGUACCAAGGGUUUUGUUGUUCGCCGAUUAAAGUGGUAUGUGAGUGGGGUUUAGAACGUCGUGAGGCAGCUCGGUUUCUAUCUACCGUUGGUGUUAAAGGAAGAACUGCGAGGAGCUAACCCUAGUAUGAGAGGACUGGGUUGGGCCAACCUUUGGUGUACCGGUUGUUAUGCCAAUAGCAGCGUCGGGCAGCUAAGUUGGUAUGGAAGAACUACUGCGCCGUAGCUGAGCUGAGCUAUAGACUCACUCCAGAAGCAACGAGAGGAGUUUACGUCAGUUUAGUCACUCGUUGUCUUAAACAUUGGAAAUCCUUCCCUAUAGAAGUUCUCGUACGAUGUUUUUUAACAGAACUUCGAUAGGCUAGAGGUGUAAGCACCGCGAGGUGU